rnacentral:rRNA from 1 species
AACGAACGCUGGCGGCAUGCCUAACACAUGCAAGUCGAACGAGACCUUCGGGUCUAGUGGCGCACGGGUGCGUAACGCGUGGGAAUCUGCCCUUGGGUUCGGAAUAACAGUUAGAAAUGACUGCUAAUACCGGAUAAUGUCUUCGGACCAAAGAUUUAUCGCCCAGGGAUGAGCCCGCGUAGGAUUAGCUAGUUGGUGAGGUAAAGGCUCACCAAGGCGACGAUCCUUAGCUGGUCUGAGAGGAUGAUCAGCCACACUGGGACUGAGACACGGCCCAGACUCCUACGGGAGGCAGCAGUGGGGAAUAUUGGACAAUGGGCGAAAGGACCUGAUCCAGCAAUGCCGCGUGAGUGAUGAAGGCC